rnacentral:rRNA from 1 species
AGGGUUCGAUUCUGGCUCAGGAUGAACGCUGGCGGCGUGCCUAACACAUGCAAGUCGAGCGGAGAUAGUUGAAGCCUAGCGAUGACUAUCUUAGCGGCGGAUGGGUGAGUAACACGUGGGUAACCUGCCCUGUACUGGGGAAUAACAGCUGGAAACGGCUGUUAAUGCCGCAUAUGCGCACGGAGCCGCAUGGCCCUGGGCGGAAAGAUUUAUCGGUACAGGAUGGGCCCGCGCCGGAUUAACUAGUUGGCGGGGUAACGGCCCACCAAGGUGAUGAUCCGUAGCCGACCUGAGAGGGUGACCGGCCACAUUGGGACUGAGACACGGCCCAAACUCCUACGGGAGGCAGCAGUGGGGGAUAUUGCACAAUGGGGGAAACCCUGAUGCAGCGACGCCGCGUGAAGGAUGACGUAUUUCGGUAUGUAAACUUCUAUCAGCGGGGAAGAAGAUGACGGUACCCGACUAAGAAGCCCCGGCUAACUACGUGCCAGCAGCAGC